GGCUGGUCCGAUGGCAGUGGGUUAUCAGAACUUAUUAACAUUAGUGUCACUAAAGUUGGUAUACCACCCCCCCCAUUGCUAAAUUUGACUGGCUUAAA
ensembl:misc_RNA Y_RNA Y RNA